rnacentral:rRNA from 1 species
UACGAAGGGGGCUAGCGUUGCUCGGAUUGACUGGGCGUAAAGGGCGCGUAGGCGGCGGACAAAGUCAGACGUGAAAUUCCUGGGCUCAACCUGGGGGCUGCGUUUGAUACAUGUCUGCUUGAGUUCGGAAGAGGGUCGUGGAAUUCCCAGUGUAGAGGUGAAAUUCGUAGAUAUUGGGAAGAACACCGGUGGCGAAGGCGGCGACCUGGGCCGAUACUGACGCUGAGGCGCGAAAGCGUGGGGAGCAAACAGG